CCUACGGGUGGCAGCAGUGAGGAAUAUUGGUCAAUGGACGAGAGUCUGAACCAGCCAAGUAGCGUGAAGGAUGACUGCACUAUGGGUUGUAAACUUCUUUUAUAUGGGAAUAAAACGUUCCACGUGUGGGAUUUUGUAUGUACCUUAUGAAUAAGGAUCUGCUAACUCCGUGCCAGCAGCCGCGGUAAUACGGAGGAUCCGAGCGUUAUCCGGAUUUAUUGGGUUUAAAGGGUGCGUAGGUGGAUUGUUAAGUCAGUUGUGAAAGUUUGCGGCUCAACCGUAAAAUUGCAGUUGAAACUGGCAGUCUUGAGUACAGUAGAGGUGGGCGGAAUGCGUGGUGUAGCGGUGAAAUGCUUAGAUAUCACGAAGAACUCCGAUUGCGAAGGCAGUUCACUGGACUGCAACUGACACUGAGGCUCGAAAGUGUGGGUAUCAAACAGGAUUAGAUACCCUAGUAGUC
rnacentral:rRNA from 1 species